UAAUAUGUAGUUUGUAUUUGAAUAGUUAGAUUAACGUGUUAGUAAUCCAAUUGUAGGCGGUUCGUGUGUGGAUCUCGUCAGCAUAUCGUCGCAAACAGGAAAUCCCCAACCAUAGUGGGCUUGGAGCUGUGAGGGAAUUCGGAGUGGCCACCCAUUCUGAAAGUUUGAUUUUCUUCUGGUGAACUGGACAUCCUUUUAAUUACGUUUGAGGUUUUAGGCUUUUAAUUGUAAUAAGGCCACUUAUUUAUUUUUGAUGGUUUUUAAUAUGUAUUACUAAGAUAGGUAAUACUUAUUUUAACUGUUGAAAUUGGAUAGCUUUAGGGCGCGUUUUCAAAAACAACAGUUGAUUUCAAAAUAACACGACAACAAGCAAAGCUUCCGCAAUGAAA